rnacentral:rRNA from 1 species
GACAAGCGGUGGAGGCACGUGGUUUAAUUCGAUGCAACGCGAAGAACCUUAACCUGGUCUUGACAUCCCGGAGACCCUUAGGAAACUAGGGGGUGGCUUCCAUCUGGAAGAAUCUGGAGACAGGUGCUGCAUGGCUGUCGUCAGCUCGUGUCGUGAGAUGUUGGGUUAAGUCCCGCAACGAGCGCAACCCUUGCCUUUAGUUGCCAGCAGUUCGGCUGGGCACUCUAAAGGGACUGCCGGUGUUAAACCGGAGGAAGGUGGGGAUGACGUCAAGUCCUCAUGGCCUUUAUGACCAGGGCUACACACGUACUACAAUGGCCGAUACAAAGGGCAGCGACACUGCGAGGUGAAGCCAAUCCCGUAAAAUCGGUCUCAGUCCGGAUUGGAGUCUGCAACUCGACUCCAUGAAGUUGGAAUCGCUAGUAAUCGUGGAUCAGCAUGCCACGGUGAAUACGUUCCCGGGCCUU